UACGGGGGGAGCAAGCGUUGUUCGGAUUUACUGGGCGUAAAGGGCGCGUAGGCGGCCAGCACAAGUCAGUUGUGAAAUCUCCGAGCUUAACUCGGAACGGUCAACUGAUACUGUGCGGCUAGAGUGCAGAAGGGGCAACUGGAAUUCUUGGUGUAGCGGUGAAAUGCGUAGAUAUCAAGAGGAACACCUGCGGCGAAGGCGGGUUGCUGGGCUGACACUGACGCUGGAGGCGCGAAAGCUAGGGGAGCGAACGGG
rnacentral:rRNA from 1 species